GGCGGCGGCCUAACACAUGCAAGUCGAGCGCGUGUAGCAAUACACGAGCGGCAGACGGGAGAGUAACACGUGGGAACGUACCCUUCGGUUCGGAAUAACCCAGGGAAACUUGGACUAAUACCGGAUACGUCCNAAAGGAGAAAGAUUUAUCGCCGAAGGAUCGGCCCGCGGCUGAUUAGCUAGUUGGUGAGGUAACGGCUCACCAANGCGACGAUCGGUAGCUGGUCUGAGAGGAUGAUCAGCCUCACUGGGACUGAGACACGGCCCAGACUCCUACGGGAGGCAGCAGUGGGGAAUAUUGGACAAUGGGCGCAAGCCUGAUCCAGCCAUGCCGCGUGGGUGAUGAAGGCCCUANGGUUGUAAANCCCUUUCGGCGGGGAAGAUAAUGACGGUACCCGCACAAGAAGCCCCGGCUAACUUCGUGCCAGCAGCCGCGGGUAAUACGAA
rnacentral:rRNA from 1 species